GGGUCAGUAGGUUGGUCGUGCCACCGGUACGUACUGGUCUCACUGAUUCCUCCUUCCUGAAGAACCGUAAUGCCAUUAAUUUGGUGUUGCGGGGAAACAGGACUGUUACUUUGAAAAAAUUAGAGUGUUUAAAGCAAGCUAACGCUUGAAUACAUUAGCAUGGAAUAAUGAGACAGGACGAUCGAUCCUAUUUUGUUGGUUUCUAGGAUUGACGUA
rnacentral:rRNA from 1 species